rfam:Cryptococcus depauperatus CBS 7841 supercont1.7, whole genome shotgun sequence.
AUCUCAUUGGCUCAGUUGGUUAGAGUGUUCGCUUCACACUUGAAUUGUUCAGUGUUUCGCGAAAGGUCCUGGGUUCGAUCCCCAGAUGGGAUA